rnacentral:rRNA from 1 species
UUCCGGUUGAUCCCGCCGGACCUUACUGCUAUCGGGACGAGACUAAAACAUGCUAGUUGUGCGCACCCUAGCCACGUUGGGAGCGCAGCAAACGGCUCCGUAACACGUAGUCAAUCUAACCUUAGGACGGGGAUAACCCCCGGGAAACUGGGGCUAAUACCGAUAGGCGAUAAAAGCCUGGAAUGGCAUUUCACCUAAAGGGUUUUAGUAACACGCUACUAAAACUGCCUAAGGAUGAGACUGCGGCCGAUCAGGUUGUUGGUGGGGUAACGGCCUACCAAGCCUAUGACCGGUACGGGCCCUGAGAGGGGGAGCCCGGAGAUGGGAACUGAGACAAGGUCCCAGACCCCACGGGUGCAGCAGUUGCGAAACCUCUACAAUGCACGAAAGUGUGAUAGGGUUAUCCCGAGUGCCGUCCGAUGAGGAUGGCUUUUCCUCGGUGUAAGAACCCGGGGGAAUAAAGGGGGGGCAAGACUGGUGUCAGCCGCCGCGGUAAUACCAGCCCCCUAAGUGGUAGGGACGAUUAUUUGGCCUAAAGCGUCCGUAGCCGGCUUAGUGAGUCUUUCGUUAAAUCCGGCGACUUAAUCGUCGGUCUGCGAGAGAUACCGCUAGGCUUGAGGACGGGAGAGGUCGACGGUAUUCCGGGGGUAGGGGCAAAAUCCUAUAAUCCUCGGAGGACCACCAGUGGCGAAGGCGGUCGACUAGAACGUGCCUGACGGUGAUGGACGAAAGCUGGGGGAGCAAACCGGAUUAGACACCCGGGUAGUCCCAGCCGUAAACGAUGUGGGCUAGGUGUUGGGGCAGCCACGAGCUGCUCCGGUGCCGCAGAGAAGUCAUUAAGCCCACCGCCUGGGAAGUACGGUCGCAAGACUGAAACUUAAAGGAAUUGGCGGGGGAGCACCACAAAGGGUGAAGCCUGCGGUUCAAUUGCAGUCAACGCCGGGAAUCAC